AACGAACGCUGGCGGCAGGCCUAACACAUGCAAGUCGAGCGGACAUCUUCGGAUGUUAGCGGCGGACGGGUGAGUAACGCGUGGGAACGUGCCCUUUGCUUCGGAAUAGCCUCGGGAAACUGGGAGUAAUACCGGAUGUACCCUUUGGGGGAAAGAUUUAUCGGCAAAGGAUCGGCCCGCGUUGGAUUAGGUAGUUGGUGGGGUAAUGGCCUACCAAGCCGACGAUCCAUAGCUGGUUUGAGAGGAUGAUCAGCCACACUGGGACUGAGACACGGCCCAGAGAGGUAGGGAAGGUAGCAGAGGGGAUACAAAAGACAUGGGGGAAACACUGAUCUGGGCGGGGGGGUGGAGUGAUGAAGGGUUUAGGGUUGAAGACAGCUUCACGUGGGGAAGCGAAGGGAGGGACGCGGAGAAGAAGCCCCAGCUCCAGCCGGGCCGGAAGGGGGGGAAAGAGGAAAGGAAAACGUAUGAAA
rnacentral:rRNA from 1 species